rnacentral:rRNA from 1 species
CCUACGGGCGGCAGCAGUAGGGAAUCUUUCACAAUGGGCGAAAGCCUGAUGGAGCAACGCCGCGUGCAGGAUGAAGGCCCUCGGGUUGUAAACUGCUUUUAUAAGCGAGAAAUAUGAUGGUAACUUAUGAAUAAGGAUCGGCUAACUACGUGCCAGCAGCCGCGGUCAUACGUAGGAUCCGAGCAUUAUCCGGAGUGACUGGGGGUAAAGAGUUGCGUAGGUGGCAUAAUAAGUAGCUAGUGGAAUCUGGUGGCUCAACCAUUCAGACUAUUAGCUAAACUGUUAAGCUCGAGACCGUUAGGGGUAACUGGAAUGUCUGGUGUAGGAGUGAAAUCCGUAGAUAUUAGAAGGAACACCGAUAGCGUAGGCAGGUUGCUGGGACGGUUCUGACACUAAGGCACGAAAGCGUAGGGAGCAAACGGGAUUAGAUACCCUAGUAGUC